CCUACGGGGGGCUGCAGUGGGGAAUAUUGGGCAAUGGGCGAAAGCCUGACCCAGCAACGCCGCGUGAAGGAAGAAGGCUUUCGGGUUGUAAACUUCGUGUGACAGGGAAGAGCAGAAGACGGUACCUGUCGAAUAAGCCACGGCUAACUACGUGCCAGCAGCCGCGGUAAUACGUAGGUGGCAAGCGGUGUCCGGAUUUCCUGGGGGGAAAGGGCGUGUAGCCGGGCUGACAAGUCAGAUGUGAAAUCCGGGGGCUCAACCCCCGAACGGCAUUUGAAACUGUUGGUCUUGAGUAUCGGAGAGGCUGGCUGACUUCCUCGUGUAGCGGUGAACUGCGUAGAUAUUAGG
rnacentral:rRNA from 1 species